GUCGGUGUGGCUCAGUUGGUUAGAGCGUUGGUCUCAUAGUUGUGAACCAUGACUUGGUUGUAAUAAAUCAGGGUAAUCCAAAGGUCGAGAGUUCGAGCCUCUCCACCGACA